AGCCUCUGGGGCUGUUUUCUUUGGAAGCCCUGUAUCUGCAAGCAGAAAUGCUGUCUGGAGAAGCAGUGUGCUUCAGGAAUGUGUUACCUGGGCUGCCACUGGACAGGAUUAAGGAAGAAAGACCUAGGAGAAGCAGGAUUGGUUGAACAAAUGCUCUACACUUGUCUUCCAGCCAGGUAGUGCAACAGAGGGAGUGAAACUGAGAUUUUAUUAUAUAUGGAGGAUGGACUCCAACAGAGAGAGUAUCAGUGAGUGCUCAGCCUCUCAGAGUUCCCUCUGGACUUGUGGUCCUCGGUGUCACCAAGGUCUAAGAGAGUCAACAACACUGUGAGAGUGCCAGGAGGGGCCCAGGGGACCAAGACAUAAGUGGCUUCGAGUGGAACUACUUGCACGUUGUGAUGAGAACCCAUUUAGUUCCUUGCACAACAUACUUUAGAUUUCUCCUUUCCUUUGAGGAGGUGGGGGAGGGUGAAAAGCCAUCGAGCUGUGGUUCCUUAUGCAGAUUACCCCUAAGGAGGUGAUAAGCAAUCAUCCAGGCUCCAUAUGAAAUGUGAUUAGAUGUUCCUGAAAGUGGAUACAUCAUUUACAUUUCGUCUGGUUGCUAUAAAAAACCCCUCUAUUGAUGCUGCAGCCAUCCAGCCCGAUGCUGCCUGCUGCACUGCUCACCAGUCCCCCUGCUGCAGCCUGACAUCUCCACUUUGCUCUGUGAUUUUGCUUUUUCAGUUCUAGCUCCUGCCCUGUUUCCCCUUAACUGCCCAAGCAAGAUGUGAAAAUCCAGGUCAAUGGCAGCAGCAACUGCCAGGGACUGAGACAGAUGGCUCGGGCUCCUCUCAGGUGUGCUAGUGGAGCACUAACCCUGAUGGGCUAAGCCUUCUGCUUCCUUGCUUUUCCUCCCCUGCAUUCCCACAGCUGCCAGCACCUUGAGGAAAUGACAUUUUUCAGCUGAAUGGAGCACCUAAAAUGCAGAAGCUGCAAAGAGCAAAAUGUGUCCUGGCUGUUUGUGUGAGCUGGGAGGAGCUGGUUUGAGGUUCUGCCCUGGGGAGAGUCUGGUGUGUAUCUUUGUGCUCCCAUCCCAGGCUCCUAGGAAAAUGGUGCUUCAUGUGUAACAGACAUUUUCCAGCUACCUGGCCACUGUGUGGACUUCAGAAUGUGAAAAAUGCCUAUUUUAUGAUUGGCUUUUCGCAAUUAUUAAAAUGAAUAUUAGAUGUGUUGUGUUAGGAAGUGAUGCUGUAUUAAUUCUCUUCAGUAGUGUGUUAAAUAUAGUUUUAGGUUAUAAAAAAUGUAAAAAUGGUAACUAUGCUAUGUAGGAUACUUUUUUUAAAGAAAGGACUUGCAGGGAGAUAGCAGCCACAGGACACCUCAAUCUUUCACAGAAAAAGAAUUUAUUGCUGCAUUAUCAGAAGAAAUGAACUUCUUCCCACCUGGAAGGUGCUGUUGGGGUUAGGAGGGAGAAGCUGAGGAUGCCCAGACAGAAUCCUGUGUUUGAAUGGAAUUUAUGCACCAUGUAUGAGGUGUAUGAAUAUGCAACAGGCUGUUGCUUUUAAGGGUUAAUCCUCUGUUAACUAUGUCCUUUUUUGGGCUUGUGCUGCCCAGAAAAGGUACCUGGACUGUCCAUAACUCUUUGUUU